GACGAACGCUGGCGGCGUGCCUAAUACAUGCAAGUAGAACGCACAGUUUAUACCGUAGCUUGCUACACCAUAAACUGUGAGUUGCGAACGGGUGAGUAACGCGUAGGUAACCUGCCUGGUAGCGGGGGAUAACUAUUGGAAACGAUAGCUAAUACCGCAUAAUAUUGAUUAUUGCAUGAUAAUUGAUUGAAAGAUGCUAUUGCAUCACUACCAGAUGGACCUGCGUUGUAUUAGCUAGUAGGUGAGGUAACGGCUCACCUAGGCGACGAUACAUAGCCGACCUGAGAGGGUGAUCGGCCACACUGGGACUGAGACACGGCCCAGACUCCUACGGGAGGCAGCAGUAGGGAAUCUUCGGCAAUGGACGAAAGUCUGACCGAGCAACGCCGCGUGAGUGAAGAAGGUUGUCGGAUCGUAAAGCUCUGUUGUAAGAGAAGAACGGGUGUGAGAGUGGAAAGUUCACACUGUGACGGUAGCUUACCAGAAAGGGACGGCUAACUACGUG
rnacentral:rRNA from 1 species